UGGGGAAUUUUGGACAAUGGGGGCAACCCUGAUCCAGCAAUGCCGCGUGAGUGAAGAAGGCCUUCGGGUUGUAAAGCUCUUUUGUCAGGGAAGAAACAGCAGCUCUAACACAGUAUGCGAAUGACGGUACCUGAAGAAUAAGCACCGGCUAACUACGUGCCAGCAGCCGCGGUAAUACGUAGGGUGCAAGCGUUAAUCGGAAUUACUGGGCGUAAAGCGUGCGCAGGCGGUUAUGUAAGACAGGCGUGAAAUCCCCGGGCUUAACCUGGGAAUUGCGCUUGUGACUGCAUAGCUAGAGUAUGUCAGAGGGGGGUAGAAUUCCACGUGUAGCAGUGAAAUGCGUAGAGAUGUGGAGGAAUACCAAUGGCGAAGGCAGCCCCCUGGGAUAAUACUGACGCUC
rnacentral:rRNA from 1 species